rnacentral:rRNA from 1 species
GGACUACCAGGGUUUCUAAUCCUGUUUGAUCCCCACGCUUUCGUAGUUGAGUGUCAGUGCCUGUCCAGUUCGCCGCCUUCGCCUCUGGUAUUCCUCCCGAUCUCUACGCAUUUCACCGCUACACCGGGAAUUCCGCGAACCUCUCCAGGACUCCAGUCUCGCCGUUUCCGAGGCACUUCCCAGGUUAAGCCCGGGGAUUUCACCUUAGACAAACGAGACCACCUACCUACCCUUUACGCCCAAUAAUUCCGAGCAACGCUUGCACCCUCUGUAUUACCGCGGCUGCUGGCAC